GCUCCUGUAGCUCAAUGGUAGAGCAGUAGCCUUUUAAGCUAUUGGUUCCGCGUUCGAGUCGCGGCGGGAGCA
rnacentral:tRNA from 1 species